GAUGAAGAACGUAGCGAAAUGCGAUACUUGGUGUGAAUUGCAGAAUCCCGUGAACCAUCGAGUCUUUGAACGCAAGUUGCGCCCGAAGCCUCGGCUAAGGGCACGUCUGCCUGGGCGUCACGCAUCGCGUCUCCCCCAAACCGCCAAGGCGGAGGGGAAGGAAGAUGGCUUCCCGUGCCUCACCCGGGCGCGGUUGGCCUAAAUUUGGAGCCCGCGGCACUUAGCUCUCGCGGCGAUAGGUGGUGAACAAGGCCUUGGCCGUGCAAACAACCCGCUGCGAAGCUCUAUGUCACGUGCGCUCGUCGGGCCCUUUGAAGUUGCCUUUGGUGACUUAAAACCUUUGCGACCCCAGGUCAGGCGGGGCUACCUGCUGAAUUUAAGCAUAUCAAUAAGCGGAGGA
rnacentral:misc_RNA from 1 species